rnacentral:rRNA from 1 species
CGUAGGUGGCAAGCGUUGUCCGGAUUUAUUGGGUUUAAAGGGUGCGUAGGCGGUGAUUUAAGUCAGUGGUGAAAUACUUCAGCUUAACUGGAGAGGUGCCAUUGAUACUGGGUCACUUGAGUACUGAUGAGGUAGGCGGAAUGGACGGUGUAGCGGUGAAAUGCUUAGAUAUCGUCCAGAACACCGAUAGCGAAGGCAGCAUACUAAGGAGUAACUGACGCUGAGGCACGAAAGUGUGGGGAUCAAACAGGAUUAGAUACCCUGGUAGUCCACACUGUAAACGAUGAUCACUCGAUGUUGGCGAUACACAGCCAGCGUCUUAGCAAAAGCGAUAAGUGAUCCACCUGGGGAGUACGCCGGCAACGGUG